rnacentral:rRNA from 1 species
GAUGAACGCUGGCGGCGUGCCUAAUACAUGCAAGUCGAGCGAACGGACGAGAAGCUUGCUUUUCUGAUGUUAGCGGCGGACGGGUGAGUAACACGUGGAUAACCUACCUAUAAGACUGGGAUAACUUCGGGAAACCGGAGCUAAUACCGGAUAAUAUUUUGAACCGCAUGGUUCAAAAGUGAAAGACGGUCUUGCUGUCACUUAUAGAUGGAUCCGCGCUGCAUUAGCUAGUUGGUAAGGUAACGGCUUACCAAGGCAACGAUGCAUAGCCGACCUGAGAGGGUGAUCGGCCACACUGGAACUGAGACACGGUCCAGACUCCUACGGGAGGCAGCAGUAGGGAAUCUUCCGCAAUGGGCGAAAGCCUGACAGAGCAACGCCGCGUGAGUGAUGAAGGUCUUCGGAUCGUAAAACUCUGUUAUUAGGGAAGUACAUAUGUGUAAGUAACUGUGCACAUCUUGACGGUACCUAAUCAGAAAGCCACGGCUAACUACGUG